rnacentral:rRNA from 1 species
UACAGAGGGGGCAAGCGUUGUUCGGAAUUACUGGGCGUAAAGGGCGCGUAGGCGGCCUUCUAAGUCGAACGUGAAAUCCCCGGGCUCAACCCGGGAACUGCGUCCGAUACUGGAAGGCUUGAAUCCGGGAGAGGGAUGCGGAAUUCCAGGUGUAGCGGUGAAAUGCGUAGAUAUCUGGAGGAACACCGGUGGCGAAGGCGGCAUCCUGGACCAACACUGACACUGAGGAGCGAAAGCCAGGGGAGCAAACGGG